ACAAAACAAAACAAAAACCUGGGCACUGGCCGUCUAUGGGCUAGCGAAGCACCGCCUCCUCCCUGCAGCCCGGAACUCCGACUCCCGGCGGAAAGCUCCGGCCGGACCUGCGCUCCGAGGCGGGACGGACAGGGGUGUGGGACAACAUUUACCCAGAAGACCUGCGGCGCGAAGAGGCACGGAGCCAAUGGGAACCCCGCAAAGGGACGUCGACGGGCGCGUGCUACGCGUGAGGGCGGGACUUCCUGCCGGGGCGACGCUGCUGUGUUCAUUGGCUUAAGGAUCCCGGAGCGUCGGGUCACGAAGCGGGAGGACGGGGUUGUGCCAGCUGCCCAGAGACGGCAGCCACAGAGCCGGGCUUGGGCCUCCUUGGCCCGACCCCCGUCGCGCCCGCUCCCGGCUCGGUGGGCGGAGGCCGCGCCCAUGAGUCCGACUCAGAAUGGAGUUGGGAGCAGCUUUCAGAGUGGUCCUGAUACCGCCGUUUCCCGGUGUCGGGUUCUGCUCCUUCUAAUGUUGAAGAUUGAACACUAGAGAAGCACGCCAAGGCAAGCAUACUAAGCAGGUUUUAUUUAAAGAUGCGCUCUUUAGUGAGGAAGGUGAGUGCUCAGACUUGGAAGGUACACUAUGGGGGAUGUAGGAGGAUAUCCUUGACCUCCCUUCAAAAAGAGCAGAUCUGAGGUUGUUGGCAUGGAGCUGUAGUUGAGGAACUUCCUUCUGAGCAAGGUGUGUCUGGGAACAUCCACUCAGAAGUCCUAUGAAACACACAGCUCACUUUUGGAAGACAUUCUUCAUCUGACUGAGCACAGUGGAACACCUCCUGAGCAUGAGCUGCACAAGUGUUGGCAGGGCUUUACCAGCACCCACAAUAGCUGCUUAGAGCAGAUCACUCCAGAAGCAAGCAGAGGCCUUUAUUUCUGAAGAGCCGUGGAGUUCACAUAGUGGAGAGGACCUUAACAUGCAGGGAGGACGGGAAGGACUUCAGUGCCAACUCAUAUCUUUUUCAGCAAAGCCCCUCGCAGUGGUUGGAAACCACCUGAGGACAUCCAGGACAAGGAAGACUUUAAAGUGGACAAAAUGAUUAUGUCUGCAGAUUAUGUGGGAGAGACUUUUGCCACCAACAUAUGCUGUAUGAGCACCAAAAAAUCCACACUAGGGAAAGGCCUUAUGAAUGUAGUGAAUGUGGGGAUCAUAUUUAAGUACAACUCCCACCUUAUUAAGCAUCAGCAAAAUCACACUGGAGAAAAGCCAUACAAAUGUAGUGAAUGUGGGAAAGCCUUCAGUCUCAAAUACGAUGUUGUUGUACACCAGAAAAUUCACACUAGAGAAAGGCCCUAUGAAUGCACUGAAUGUGGGAAACCCUUCAUUAGAAAGCCCCACCUUAUUCAGCACCAGAAAAUCCACAUUGAAAGAUUCUUUAUGAAAAGCUCUGAUCUCAUGGAGCACCAGAGAAUUUCCAGGCCAAGGUCUUUUGAAUGUACUCAGUGUGGGAAAGCUUUCAUUACACAGUCCUUCCUUAUUAGUCACCAGAAAAAUCUGUACUGGAGAAAGGCCUUACGAGUGCAGUCAAUGCAGGAAAUUCUUUGUGUUACAUGCUAAACUUAUCAGACAUCAGAAAGUUCACACUGGAGAACAACCUUACUGUUGUGAAUGUGUGAAAUUCUUUAUGUACAGCUCCAGAUUUAGUAUUUGUCAGAGAAUACACAGUGGAGAAAGACUUUAUGAAUGCAGCCAGUGUGAAAAAUUGUUUAGAUACCGCUCCACCCUGAUUAGACAUCAGAAAGUUCAUACUGGAGAAAGGCCUUCUUUUUAGACAGCUCCACAUUUCUUAUUCAUCAGAGUUCACACUGGUGAAAAACCUUACAAGUGCAGCAAGUGUGGGAAAUUCUUUAGCUAUCACUCCAUACGUGAUACACAUCAGAGAGUUCACAGUGGGGAAAGGCCUUAUGAGUGUAGUGAAUGUGGGAAAUUCUUUUACCACAACUCAAAUCAAAUUAGACACUGGAGAAAUCACAUUGGAGAAAAGCCUUAUGACUGCAACAAAUUUGGGAAAGGUUUUAGCCAAAAUUCCCACCUCAUUCAGCACCCAAAAGUUCACACUAAAGAAAAAUAUGAGUGCAAUGUGGCAAAAUCUUUAUGAACAGUUCAACACCCAUUAGUUUUCAGGGAGUUUACCCUGGAGAAAAACCUUAUGAGUGCUAUGAAUAUGGGAAAGUCUUUAGAUACAAUUUGAGCCUCAUUAAACAUAGGAGAAUUCACAUGGGAGGAAGGCCUUAGGGCAGUAUGUGGGAAGGACUUUGACCAAAACUCUCACCUCAUUCAGCACCAAAAGUUCACACCAGAUAAACUUAAAAGUAAAUGUGGAAAGACUUCAGACAAAUAUGCUCUGAUUUACCAUUGAGAACUAGUUUUUUUUUUUUAUUUCUAAAAUGCCAAUAACAAAAUGUAUCAUCAUUACAAUGUUAAAGUGUACAGCUCAGUAAUUGUUCACAUUGUGCAAUGAAUAUCCAGAAGUCUUUUCGCCAUACAAGAUGAAAACUCUAUAUCCUUUUAACCACUCAUUUUCCAUUACACCCAACCUCUAACAACCACCUCUCUGAACUUCAUUAGUACUCUCUAUAAGGAAAUUGUUUUUCUAUUAUUUUGUGUCUUAUGUUUUCAGAAUGAUUCAAAUUUUCUUUUUUAAGGCUGAAUAAAAUCCCAUUAUAGGUAUAUAACACUU